UACGUAGGUGGCAAGCGUUUGUUCGGAAUUACUGGGCGUAAAGCGCGUGUAGGCGGCUCUUCAAGUCAGGCGUGAAAGCCCCGGGCUUAACUCGGGAACUGCGCUUGAUACUGUCGAGCUAGAGUGUGGAAGGGGCGAUUGGAAUUCCGUGUGUAGCGGUGAAAUGCGUAGAUAUACGGAGGAACACCAGAGGCGAAGGCGGAUCGCUGGGCCAACACUGACGCUGAGACGCGAAAGCUAGGGGAGCAAACGGG
rnacentral:rRNA from 1 species